rnacentral:rRNA from 1 species
GGUUUGACAUAUAAGUAGUAGGGAACUGAAAAGGGACUGACCCUUCGGGGAGCUUAUACAGGUGCUGCAUGGCUGUCGUCAGCUCGUGUCGUGAGAUGUUCGGUUAAGUCCGCUAACGAGCGCAACCCUCGCUGUGUGUUACAAGUGUCACACGGAACUGCCGGUCAUAAACCGGAGGAAGGUGGGAUGACGUCAAGUCAGCAUGGCCUUUAUAUCCUGGGCUACACACACGCUACAAUGGGAAGGGACAAUAGGUAGCGAAGCCGCGAGGUGGAGCCAAUCCAGCAAAACUUCCCUCAGUUCAGAUUGCAGGCUGCAACUCGCCUGCAUGAAGUUGGAGUUGCUAGUAACCGCAGGUCAGCAAUACUGCGGUGAAUACGUUCCCGGGGCUU